rnacentral:tRNA from 1 species
GGGGUCGUCAGCUAGUCUGGUCUAGGCUGGCAGGCUCCAGACCUGCUCACGGGCGUUCAAAUCGCCCCGACCCCA